GCUCAUUCCGAAAUGGGGAGCACUGAAAUUUUGGAAAAGGAGACCCCAGAAAAUCUCAGUAAUGGUACCAGCAGCAAUGUGGAAGCAGCCAAAAGGUUGGCCAAACGCCUUUAUCAGCUGGACAGAUUCAAAAGAUCAGAUGUUGCAAAACACCUUGGCAAGAACAAUGAAUUUAGCAAACUAGUUGCAGAAGAAUAUCUGAAGUUUUUUGAUUUUACAGGAAUGACGCUGGAUCAGUCACUCAGGUAUUUCUUUAAAGCGUUUUCUCUUGUGGGAGAAACUCAAGAACGAGAGAGAGUUUUAAUACACUUCUCCAAUAGAUAUUUUUACUGUAACCCAGAUACCAUUGCUUCACAAGAUGGAGUCCAUUGCCUUACCUGUGCAAUAAUGCUUCUUAAUACCGAUCUACAUGGCCAUGUAAGUGUGAAUUUGUGAAACUUAGAUCCAAAACAUGUCGGGCUUAUCUCUGCUUUUGUGUUCAUACACAUUUAUUUUCUGCCUCCCUUUUUCUCAUUCUCUACAUGGUUCCCAUGGCAGGUGAAUAAAAAUAAAUCUUUGAAAAAA
rnacentral:sRNA from 1 species